UUGGGUCCCAUGGCAGCAUGAUCUUUACCUUGAUACCGAGCACACCUUGCCGGAGGAGCAUAUGGCGUACAGCUGUAUCCACGUAGUAGUUGACAGGGUCUCCACUGUGGAUUAUCAAGCCAUCCACAAACUUCAUGGACUUGGCUUUCUGACCUCGCAGCUUGCCAGACACAACAACUUCACAACCCUUGGCGCCACUCUCCAUGAUGGUAAACA